GAUCCAACCAGGUAAGGACGACCCACUGAGUACAGAUGUGAUCGAAUUAGCAUCAAGUUCUUCUUUGCUUCUAGCUCUGUAGAAAAUGGCACCAAAAUCUUCCGCCAAAUGGACGUUUUCUAGCUCGCUCUGCAGUACAGCGAACUUGGAGUUCUGUGGAUGAAGUGAGGCUCAGAGAAGCGGACAGAAAGGAAAAGUCCAAUCACCAUAACCCACUCACGGAAUCCGAUUACGUGACUAGGGACCGGAAAUAGGACAUUAAAGCGUCAUCAGCCUU